GUGGCAAAACUGGUAAAGCGCUGGGCUACUAACCUAAACAUUGGUGGUUCAAAUCCACCC
rnacentral:tRNA from 1 species